CCUACGGGAGGCAGCAGUGGGGAAUAUUGCACAAUGGGGGAAACCCUGAUGCAGCGACGCCGCGUGAGUGAAGAAGUAAUUCGUUAUGUAAAGCUCUAUCAGCAGGGAAGAAAAUGACGGUAACUGAGUAAGAAGCCCCGGCUAACUACGUGCCAGAAGCCGCGGGAAGACGUAGGGGGCAAGCGUUAGCCGGAUUUACUGGGUGUAAAGGGAGCGUAGACGGCAGUGCAAGUCUGGAGCGAAAGGCGCGGGGUCAACCCCCGGACUGCUCUGGAAACUGGACGGCUGGAGUGCAGGAGAGGUAAGUGGAAUUCCAAGUGUAGCGGUGAAAUGCGUAGAUAUAAGGAGGAACACCAGAGGCGAAGGCGGCUUACUGGACUGUAACUGACGCUGAGGCUCGAAAGCGUGGGGAGCAAACAGGAUUAGAUACCCGUGUAGUC
rnacentral:rRNA from 1 species